GGCGCUGUGGCUUAGCAGGUAAAGCAGCUGCCUGCAGUGCAGAAAUCCCAUAUGGCGCCA
rnacentral:tRNA from 1 species